GACGAACGCUGGCGGCGUGCUUAACACAUGCAAGUCGAACGGAAAGGCCCUGCUUUUGUGGGUUGCUCGAGUGGCGAACGGGUGAGUAACACGUGAGUAACCUGCCCUUGACUUUGGGAUAACUUCAGGAAACUGGGGCUAAUACCGGAUAGGAUCUCCUGCUGCAUGGUGGGGGUUGGAAAGUUUCGGCGGUUGGGGAUGGACUCGCGGCUUAUCAGCUUGUUGGUGGGGUAGUGGCUUACCAAGGCUUUGACGGCUAGCCGGCCUGGGAGGGUGACCGGGCACAAGGGGACUGAGAGACGGACCAGACUGCAACGGGAGGCAGCAGGGGGGAAUAUGGCACAAUGGGCGGAAGCCUGAUGCAGAGACGCCGCGUGCGGGAUGACGGCCUUCGGGUUGUAAACAGCUGUCGCCUGUGACGAAGCGUGAGUGACGGUAAUGGGUAAAGAAGCACCGGCUAACUACGUG
rnacentral:rRNA from 1 species